UCUACAUUGUUGAAUAGUAAAGACUUAUGAACCACACUAUUUUGUUUAAUUACAAGCUGAUAAAAAAAAAAAAACAUGAAUUCUGUCAAGUGCGUCCACAUGUGUAUGUUUCAUAGCAGGCCACAGUGGGGCUUCAGGAGAGCUUGGCAGUGCCUUGGGCCCAGACUGGCAUGAGGGGAUUGAACUAAGAGGAGCAGUGCAGAAUUCCAGCGGAGUCCAUGUAGAAUAUGAGUGUAAGGUUGACAAGCUCUACACCCAACAGGAGUUCCUACAGUCCAAACUCAACACAAAUAAAUCAGAAUUAGGGCUGUGGCCAGCUUAUGUUCAGUUAACCAACAAAAAGAUUUAUGGCUGUGAUUUCGUCGUCAGCGCAACAGGCGUCGUGCCAAACACUGAUCCUUUUCUCAAUGGCAACAAUGUAAAAAUGAUUAUCCUUUUGA